rnacentral:rRNA from 1 species
UCGUACGCGAACGACCUUUCGGGGUUAAGUAGAGUGGCGAACGGGUUAGUAACGCGUGGGAACAUACACAGCACAGGGGGAUAACCAUUGGAAACGAUGGCUAAUACCGCAUACGCCCUAUUGGGGAAAGAUUUAUCGGUGUUGGAUUGGCCCGCGUUAGAUUAGCUAGUUGGUGGGGUAAUGGCUCACCAAGGCGACGAUUUAUAGCUGGUUUGAGAGGAUGAUCAGCAACACUGGAACUGAGACACGGUCCAGACUCCUACGGGAGGCAGCAGUCGGGAAUAUUGUGCAAUGGGGGCAACCCUGACACAGCCAUGCCGCGUGAGUGAAGAAGGCCUUAGGGUUGUAAGGCUCUUUCAGAUGUGAGGAUGAUGACGAUAGCAUCAGAAGAAGCUCCGGCUAACUUCGUGCCAGCAGCCGCGGUAAUACG